GCUCGAUUAGCUCAGUUGGUUUAGAGCGUGGUGCUAAUACGCAGGUUUCAUUGAAAACAUGUCGUUGAUACGCCAAGGUCACAGGUUCGAUCCCUGUAUCGAGCA